rnacentral:lncRNA from 10 species
GUAGCGCAGCUUCUCCUGGGUGGUAAGGGAGGACGGGGUCACAGCGUCCAGCCGCUUUCCUCCCGCAACCACCUCCACCCCAAAAUCCGCUCCAGUACUCCCCGAGAUUGGAAGUAGAACGCCUGUGGGGACAGUAUGUUGGAAGUCUCACUGGCUGUCAUUAGGGAGGGGAGGCACCAUUUGAGGCCCAGUUGGACUCCAAUUCCCGCUAACCUCCCACAGCCUGCCUCCAGGUAUCCACCCGGCCCUCCAAGCCCUCCAGGCGUCAAAUACCAGUCCCGGCCACUUGGCAAGAACAACUGAAGCUUUCUCAGCAUUUUGUUGGAAAAUGAGUGGGCAUGUGGACAGGACGGGCCUUCUCACCUGAAGUCCAGCUCGAUUCUCUUUCUGGGACCUGAAUGUGACUGCAGGGCAAGAGUCCCCCAUCUGGGUGUUGGAGCCUCAUUUGAAUCCCUCUUAUCAGCGAGUUCUAAGGAUGACUAUGUGCACGAAGGUGCAGUGUGGUGGUGGUGUCGGGGCAGGGAGUUCCACCUAAAAGUGUAUCUUGAGUCCCUCGUGCAUCUGACCUCCUCCCACAAAUCCUGGGACUGCCCCCUAGCCCUUACCUCCAGCAGGGCAGAAUUCUGCUUCAAGACGUUGGUUUUGAUUUCAGCAUCUUCCACAGACCGGGUCACCUUCCAGCAGUUCUCCUGGAGAUUCUCGCUCAGCACAGAACACUCGCUCUGGAGCAUGGAAGGAGGAGAGCUGGUGAUGGAGUCUUUGGCGCGGACCAAUCCACUGUUGACCCCACUCUGGGGAAGAAUGGGAGACAGAUAGAGGACACAAUGAAACAGAAGAAGCCUGAAUCCUUGACAUGGAGCCACCAUACUCCAUUCCAACCACCUGUGAAGACUUUCAGGGGAACGAUAGCCUCAAUGUCAUAAGCAGCCACCUAUGAAGAGGCCCAUGUAGCAAGGAAUUGAGGCCUCCAGCCAAGGGCAGGUGAGUGCCCCAUUUUGGUAGCACAACCUCUGGCCCCAGUCCAACCUUCAGGUGACUGCAGCCCCAGCCAAAAUCUUGUUUGCAACCUCGUGAGACGCCCUGAGCCAGGCCCACCCAGCUGAGCCCCUCCAAGUUUGUUGUUUGAAGUUUUGGUGUAAUUGGUUUCACAGCAAUAGAAAGCAUUACACAAAGUGUCUUUCUAACCUGAAGACUCAGAAGGUCUUGGGUUUCCUGUGGGUAAUUGUUCUGGAAACCAAGGCAACAGGACCUAGGGCCAACUAAUUUCUCCCAGUUACUAGCCGUAUGACCUCAUGGAGAGGACUUCACCUCUCUGUGCCUCUGCUUCCCUACCUGUGAAAUGGAGAUAUAACUAACAACUACCUUCACAGGGUUCCCAUUGUCCUUCCUCCUACCUGGAAACUGACACUCUCUCAACCAGGGUCUCCAUCACCGCCUGGUUCUCUGUCCCCCUCUUUCCAGUUCUCUGUCCCCACCCAGCCCCUGUGUCUGUUCCUUCUCUCUCUGGGUCUCUAUCCCCCUCCUCUAUUUCUGGUCUUCUGUCUCACCCUGAUUCAGCUCUGUCCCCCAAAUCUCAGAGUCUCUGACUUAUUUUUCCUGAGUCUCUGCCUUUCUACUCUUUAGGUCUCUGUCUUCUUUUUUUUUUUUUUUUUUUGAGAUAGAGUCUCACUCUGUCACCAGGCUGGAGUGCAGUGGCACGAUCUCGGCUCUCUGCAACCUCCACCUCCCGAGUUCAAGCGAUUCUCCUGCCUCAGCCUCCCGAGUAGCUGGGAUUACAGGCAUGUGCCCCCCUCUGUCUCUGGGUCUCUGUCCUCCUCUCUCUCUGGGUCUCUGUCCUCCUCUCUCUUGGUCUCUGUCCCCCACUCUCUGGGUCUCUGUCCCCCUCUCCCUGGUCUCCCUUCCCCUCUCUCUGGGUCUCUGUUCCCCUCUCUCUCUCUGGGUCUCUGUCUCCCUCUCUCUCUGGGUCUCUGUGUCCUUCUCUCUGCCUGUCCCCGCCUUCUCUCUGGAUGCAGCUCAGGUGCUGGGUGCUGGUUCCAGCUCCUGCUGCCCCCCUCACCUCUCCAGCAGGCACCCCAAGGUCAUUACUUUUUCCAUUUCACAGAGAAGGAACUUGAAGCCCGUUAGAGGCCGACACUCCCCUGCAGCCCCACAGCGAGCUGGCAGCUGUGUCAGACCUUGAUCCUGGCUGCCUGGGGUACUUUCUCAGGCUUCACGAUCCAGUGGGGGAUGUGACUCAGAAAUAGCUCUGGUGGGAGGCAAACGGCUGCAAGUGCUGCCUGAGGGACACUCCCCAAGACAGGGCGGAGAGCUCUUCUGUCUGAGGGAGGAGAUGUCUCCCAGACAUCCUUCCCAGCCCAGACUCUUUGCCCUGUUCUCUGCAGCUCCUCCUCCUUCCCUGGACCCUCGCCCAGGCUCCCCUCUGGCCUCCCUGCCUCAGUCUCUCCCCUCCAAACAUCCCCCACUCAGCCCAAGGGAGUCUUGGGGAGAGAAAGCCCUUUUGCAUUAGUGACAAAAGCAGCAGCCUUCUUGUCUUGGUCCUGCUUCUUACAACCCCUCCAACCUUGACCUUGUGGAGGUUACUACACCACUGUCUACCUUAGUUGUUUCUUUUUUUUUUUUGAGACGGAGUUUUGCUCUUGUUGCCCAGGCUGGAGUGCAAUGGCACGAUUUCGGUUCACUGCAACCUCUGCCUCCCAGGUUCAAGC